rnacentral:rRNA from 1 species
AGGGAAUAGAUACCCAGGUAGUCCUGGCAGUAAACGGUGCACGUUUGGUGUGGGCGCAAUCGACCGCGUCCGCGCCGGAGCUAAACGCGUUAAACGUGCCGCCUGGGAAGUACGGUCGCAAGAUUAAAACUCAAAGAAAUUGACGGGGACCCGCACAAGCGGUGGAGUAUGUGGCUUAAUUCGAUGCAACGCGAAGAACCUUACCUGGUCUUGACAUGCAUUGUGUCUCCGGUGAAAGCCGGAUAGGGUAGCAAUACCCGCUUUGCACAGGUGCUGCAUGGCUGUCGUCAGCUCGUGUCGUGAGAUGUUGGGUUAAGUCCCGCAGCGAGCGCAACCCCUGUGAUUUGUUGCCACCGGCUUAUGCCGAGCACUCGAAUCAGACUGCCUCGAUCAACGAGGAGGAAGGUGGGGAUGACGUCAAGUCCGUAUGGCCCUUACGGACCAGGGCUGCACACGUACUACAAUGCCCAGUACAAUGUGAACCGAGACCGCGAGGUGGAGGAAAUCAAU